AGCGAACGCUGGCGGCAGGCCUAACACAUGCAAGUCGAACGAAGUCUUCGGACUUAGUGGCGGACGGGUGAGUAACACGUGGGAACGUACCUUUUGGUUCGGAACAACUCAGGGAAACUGGAAUUAAUACCGUAUACGCCCUACGGGGGAAAGAUUUAUCGGGGAAGGAUUGGCCCGCGUUGGAUUAGCUAGUUGGUGGGGUAAAGGCCUACCAAGGCGACGAUCCAUAGCUGGUCUGAGAGAAUGAUCAGCCACACUGGGACUGAGACACGGCCCAGACUCCUACGGGAGGCAGCAGUGGGGAAUAUUGGACAAUGGGCGCAAGCCUGAUCCAGCCAUGCCGCGUGAGUGAUGAAGGCCUUAGGGUUGUAAAGCUCUUUCAGUAGGGAAGAUAAUGACGGUACCUACAGAAGAAGCCCCGGCUAACUUCGUGCCAGCCGCCGCAGUAAAAC
rnacentral:rRNA from 1 species